UGCCCAGCAACUCCUAUCCCUACCUCCUCGCGGUACUGUCCGGGGUACGAAUAACCUUAGGGAAGAUCGGGUAACCAACCCCCGGUGUUAACUUAGGUCGUAUUUUUUUUCCUUCUAAGCAAUGGGGGGACAAUCUGCUCAACAGACUCCGGACUUUGGUCGUAUGCUGACAAAAAAGG
rnacentral:ribozyme from 1 species